rnacentral:sRNA from 1 species
AUAGCAAAAGGAACGGAACACCGUCCUUCAACUUACGGAGUCAGGGGAGACACGGUGGCCUCAAUGGUCUUUGAUGCAUUUAACGGCAUUGGAACCAUAGCGUU